AGUUAUCUGAACCUUCGGGGAACGAUAACGGCGUCGAGCGGCGGACGGGUGAGUAAUGCCUAGGAAAUUGCCCUGAUGUGGGGGAUAACCAUUGGAAACGAUGGCUAGUACCGCAUGAUGCCUACGGGCCAAAGAGGGGGACCUUCGGGCCUCUCGCGUCAGGAUAUGCCUAGGUGGGAUUAGCUAGUUGGUGAGGUAAGGGCUCACCAAGGCGACGAUCCCUAGCUGGUCUGAGAGGAUGAUCAGCCACACUGGAACUGAGACACGGUCCAGACUCCUACGGGAGGCAGCAGUGGGGAAUAUUGCACAAUGGGCGCAAGCCUGAUGCAGCCAUGCCGCGUGUGUGAAGAAGGCCUUCGGGUUGUAAAGCACUUUCAGUCGUGAGGAAGGUGGUGUAGUUAAUAGCUGCAUUAUUUGACGUUAGCGACAGAAGAAGCACCGGCUAACUCCGUGCCAGCAGCCGCGGUAAUACGGAGGGUGCGAGCGUUAAUCGGAAUUACUGGGCGUAAAGCGCAUGCAGGUGGUUUGUUAAGUCAGAUGUGAAAGCCCGGGGCUCAACCUCGGAAUAGCAUUUGAAACUGGCAGACUAGAGUACUGUAGAGGGGGGUAGAAUUUCAGGUGUAGCGGUGAAAUGCGUAGAGAUCUGAAGGAAUACCGGUGGCGAAGGCGGCCCCCUGGACAGAUACUGACACUCAGAUGCGAAAGCGUGGGGAGCAAACAGGAUUAGAUACCCUGGUAGUCCACGCCGUAAACGAUGUCUACUUGGAGGUUGUGGCCUUGAGCCGUGGCUUUCGGAGCUAACGCGUUAAGUAGACCGCCUGGGGAGUACGGUCGCAAGAUUAAAACUCAAAUGAAUUGACGGGGGCCCGCACAAGCGGUGGAGCAUGUGGUUUAAUUCGAUGCAACGCGAAGAACCUUACCUACUCUUGACAUCCAGAGAACUUUCCAGAGAUGGAUUGGUGCCUUCGGGAACUCUGAGACAGGUGCUGCAUGGCUGUCGUCAGCUCGUGUUGUGAAAUGUUGGGUUAAGUCCCGCAACGAGCGCAACCCUUAUCCUUGUUUGCCAGCGAGUAAUGUCGGGAACUCCAGGGAGACUGCCGGUGAUAAACCGGAGGAAGGUGGGGACGACGUCAAGUCAUCAUGGCCCUUACGAGUAGGGCUACACACGUGCUACAAUGGCGCAUACAGAGGGCGGCCAACUUGCGAAAGUGAGCGAAUCCCAAAAAGUGCGUCGUAGUCCGGAUUGGAGUCUGCAACUCGACUCCAUGAAGUCGGAAUCGCUAGUAAUCGUGGAUCAGAAUGCCACGGUGAAUACGUUCCCGGGCCUUGUACACACCGCCCGUCACACCAUGGGAGUGGGCUGCAAAAGAAGUAGGUAGUUAA
rnacentral:rRNA from 1 species